rnacentral:rRNA from 1 species
UACAGAGGGUGCAAGCGUUAAUCGGAAUUACUGGGCGUAAAGCGCGCGUAGGUGGUUUGGUAAGUCGGAUGUGAAAUCCCCGGGCUUAACCUGGGAACUGCAUUUGUGACUGCAAGGCUAGAGUGUAGCAGAGGGGGGUAGAAUUCCACGUGUAGCAGUGAAAUGCGUAGAUAUGUGGAGGAAUACCGAUGGCGAAGGCAGCCCCCUGGGCUAACACUGACGCUCAUGCACGAAAGCGUGGGGAGCAAACAGG